rnacentral:rRNA from 1 species
AGUGAACGCUGGCGGUAGGCCUAACACAUGCAAGUCGAACGGCAGCACAGUAAGAGCUUGCUCUUACGGGUGGCGAGUGGCGGACGGGUGAGGAAUACAUCGGAAUCUACUUUUUCGUGGGGGAUAACGUAGGGAAACUUACGCUAAUACCGCAUACGACCUACGGGUGAAAGCAGGGGAUCUUCGGACCUUGCGCGAAUGAAUGAGCCGAUGUCGGAUUAGCUAGUUGGCGGGGUAAAGGCCCACCAAGGCGACGAUCCGUAGCUGGUCUGGGAGGAUGAUCAGCCACACUGGAACUGAGACACGGUCCAGACUCCUACGGGAGGCAGCAGUGGGGAAUAUUGGACAAUGGGCGAAAGCCUGAUCCAGCCAUACCGCGUGGGUGAAGAAGGCCUUCGGGUUGUAAAGCCCUUUUGUUGGGAAAGAAAAGCAGCAGGUUAAUACCCCGCUGUUCUGACGGUACCCAAAGAAUAAGCACCGGCUAACUUCGUG